rnacentral:SRP_RNA from 1 species
GCUGGGCGUGGUGGCGCGUGCCUGUAAUCCCAGCUACUCGGGAGGCUGAGGCAGGAGAAUCACUUGAACCCGGGAGGCAGAGGUUGCAGUGAGCCGAGAUCAUGCCACUGCAUUCCAGCCUGGGUGACAGAGUGAGACUCCAUCUCAA